CCCCAGCAAGGUACAUGGUGUGCUUCAGAUUGAGAAAGUCUCUGUGCAUCAAAGGGAGACAGCCUUAUCUUUCCCAGGGGCUUCCUUCUGCCCUGCCCGCAAUGUCCUGCUAUUGCCAUUUUACAGGAGAAGGCACAAUCAGUGGGUCUCUUGACCUGGCAAGAAAUUGAAGUCAGGUCGAGGAAGCAACUUUUCUCCUUCUGUGCAGCUUUAUUCACCAGCAAGCUUGCAUCUAACUGCAAUUUUCAAGUGUCUCACAAAAGAUUAUCACACAGGUCCUGAGAAAUAUCAGCAGUGGAACUGCCACUUUAUUGUGAAGAAAGAAAACAAGGCAAAAGAGAAGUGAAUCUGAGGGAAUUGCUGUCAGGACUUUCUGUCUCUAGUUUUAGGCUUAGUUUGUUAAAAAUUAAAUUAAAUGGGGAGGUGAGCUGUUUUCCAAAGGCUAUUUGAUAAAAU